GAUCAUGGCUUAGGAUGAACGCUAGCUACAGGCUUAACACAUGCAAGUCGAGGGGGAAACGAUAUUGGAAGCUUGCUUCCGAUAGGCGUCGACCGGCGCACGGGUGAGUAACGCGUAUCCAACCUGCCCAUCACUUGGGAAUAACCUUGCGAAAGUAAGACUAAUGCCCAAUGACAUUUAUAGAAGGCAUCUGAAAUGAAUUAAAGAUUUAUCGGUGAUGGAUGGGGAUGCGUCUGAUUAGCUUGUUGGCGGGGUAACGGCCCACCAAGGCGACGAUCAGUAGGGGUUCUGAGAGGAAGGUCCCCCACAUUGGAACUGAGACACGGUCCAAACUCCUACGGGAGGCAGCAGUGAGGAAUAUUGGUCAAUGGGCGAGAGCCUGAACCAGCCAAGUAGCGUGCAGGAAGACGGCCCUAUGGGUUGUAAACUGCUUUUAUAGGGGAAUAAAGUGAGCCACGUGUGGUUUUUUGCAUGUACCCUAUGAAUAAGGACCGGCUAAUUCCGUG
rnacentral:rRNA from 1 species